AAGAUUGGACACCCCUGCUCUACAGUAGAACACACAGACGUGGUCCAGUUGGGUUGUGCUCUAACCUGUAUUUCUCUCUCUCUCUCACAUGGUCCUGCUCUGUCCACCCUGCAGAGGAGAGUAAGUACUGUUGACAUGAGUGUUGUGCUGUCCUGUCCCUGUGUGAUGUGUGAUAUUAUUAGUAUUAAACACUGAGGUACAGAUGUGUAAAACUGUCCUUUUCUAGCUGUGUGCUUGCUGCUCAGGGUUGUGUAGUUUGGGGUGUGAUGUGUAAAAGGUGAAGUAUUAUUCCUGCACAAUUCAGGCAGUGUCCUGGGGGAGCGACAGUCUGGGGUGUCAGGUGAGAGCUGGCCAGGCUCUGUUAUCUGUGUCUUCAGUGUCGCAGUGGAAAACAGCCUCAGGACCAGUUUUCUCUCAGUGUCACAGUGCUGUGUGUCUGUUAGCACUUCCAGUGUCAGUCAGGUUUAGGAUGUUACCAGAUUCCUGCAACAAGAGUAAACCUUAGUUUUUUAUCCUUUAUUAAUAGAUAAAAAGCCCAUAAGAUUUCUCCAGAGCUUUCUUCUGUCUCAUUGUCUGUUUUCAGUCUGUGAUGCUUCAUAAUGAACACUUUACUGUGUCAAUGGGACAGAGUGAGUCGUCAUUUUAACACAGCGAGGACUUGUCACUUUCUGAGUUAAUUUGAUUAGAAACGGACUGCAUGGUGUAGUAAGUUGAUCUGCCUUCUUAUAGUAAGAGCCUCCCUCCCUGGGAGAAUCAGGGCUGGUGGAAACGACUGUAGCAGGACUGGCUUUUGUGAAGGAUCUGAGCUGGGACAUCUGACGGUUGUAUGAAGGAGGGACAACAGUGUACUUCUGCAAAUCCUUUGACUACAGUUGAGAAGUUUUGCAGCGGGCCCUGGACCCACAGGCUGGGCCGUGGCUGAGGAAAGGGCAAUUGAUGUAAUUCCAUGAGUCCCUGGCAGCCAGGGUGAUUGUAAGUCGGUCAGUUGCCUUCACUAGUACCAGGAAAUAGUAUCAUGUGGUUAAAAUAUUGUUGUUGUUAUUAAUUCUAAAACUUUAGAUAUAGACGCAGCAAUGGAAUAUUGAGAUGUGCUAGUUAAAGCCUCUUUGUAAGAACAUGCAGUGGCUUGCUAGUGUUCGCCUUUUAAGGCUACAACCGCAACUGUUCUGAUUAGGGUCUGAUCCUGAUCACUCAAAUGCACAGAAGAUACUGGCAUUAAAAGCAAAAUCAACCGCUGCCCUCCUGGGCAAACAGAGGAACAGAGUUGCAGAAUUGUUACUCUCACAACGGUAACAGACGCUUGAACCAGACUUAGUCCAGACUGGAGUGGGACCGGGGAAACAGGGACCUGCAAAGGGGCACCUCUCUGGGUUUUUGCUCAAGGCCUGCCCACGUGAUUACAAUACAAAUACCAGUGUUGUAACUGUACUGGUCCAGUGCUACCAUUCUGUUCCAUACAAUUUAAAGUAGUAGGUUGUACUGAGAAAGUAUUGGAGCCUGAAGCAGCGUGCAUGAGAUGAGCUCUCCUGGUCAGAGUGUUGUGUGCGAUGUGCCCUAGCCCAUCUGUGUGGCACUGGAAACUUUGUGCUUGUGGAACUCCCACAGCUGGACUGUAAGGAAAAGUUCAGAGGUGUUUUCAUCUCACCACUGGUGGACAUCAGCCAACUUCCCAAAGUCCCAGCAAUUCAGAGGGCCUGGGUUCUGAGACACUAGAAAACCCCUUUCUGCCUCUCAUCGCUGAUGAUUCUGACACUGCAAAAAGCAGUUUUAGCUACAGCGUAUCGUAAUCAAGCCCAAGUAUAGUACAGUACAUCAGCUGAAGAGGACCACGACGCUGUCGAGGACUUUGCUGCAGGGUCCCAAGGGAACAUGGUGGAGUGUUUGUGUGGGGAGGGUUGAGUUUUUGCUUUCUAACGUGUCUUUAUCUUCCGUUUCUUCCCUGUCAAGUGAAAUCAAGGGUGAAGAACAACAGGGAGAGAAGAGGGAGAGGAGGGAUGCCCGAACUCUCGCCGCAGUAUCGGGGACUGAGGGAUGGGAAAUUUAUCUAUGCAUUCAUGAAGUAAUAUUAGAUUGUUUUUUAAACUCAUUGAUUUUUAAACUCAGGGGAGCUGUAACUGAAAUAGAUGUACGUUUUUUAUGCAAA